rnacentral:lncRNA from 1 species
GAAUAAUAUACAAGGGGAUGGAGUGACGUCAUGAGCAAAAACAUGCGAUGCCUUUAUCUUACAAGAACUGAAGCAACAGAAUGACAACACAAGAGAACCAAGCACACAAACUACCAAGAUCAAGGUCAAAGAGGCGAGGCAGGUGAAUCGGACGCACUCUCAUCAAUCAGUAAAGACGGCCUAGAAGUAAAAAAAAAAAAAGAAGCUGUCUGACCAAAGUUACCUAUUGCUGAUUUACUACUCUGUGCUUGCACGUCAUGUUACGCACCGGUGUGUUGCGGCCCAUCAAUGGUGUAAGAAAUACUAGAAGUAAUUUGGAUGGUCGAAGUUUUAUGAGGUUUGGUUGACCGUGAGAAAAUCCUCGGUAUUUUGCCAAGAUUGGAUAAUUUAUGUAAAAUAAACACUUAAAUAAACACAAUUUUAGGCUGGGACACGUGCCAGCGUUACAUUCGGGAAUUGCAGAAGUAUGAAGCAUCCGACCCAUCCAGAUCAAACCUUCCACGAAAGACCUAAUGGAUUAUUUAUCAUACGUUUUCGUCGAUGUUUUAUAGGCAUACCACACAAGUCAAGCUUACUUAGUAGGCCUAUCGCAUUUAUACAGGUAACAGGUGAAUAGUGACUGCCUGCACAGAGGUAUAACAUUAAAAAAAAAAAUCCUCUAUGUUUGAGGAUACGCUGUGUUUCUCAUAAAUAUGUGUAAGAGCGCAUUGUCAACAGUGACAAACGCAGCGCGAUUGCAAUGAAAAGACAAUAAUAAACAAAUUUAACUCGUUUAUGAAAUGUGAUAACUCUAAGGCCCGGAAGAGAUCGUAAGCAAAGGCACACUGCGUCGGUCAACGCAUCUAUCUCCGUUCUUUCUUUGAGCGACUCAACGCCGAUUGUUGAUUGUCGAUGGCAGAUUGAGCGGAUCGUCAGUAACGAUCUGUUGUGCGCGACUCGUCGGGUGUGUGCGUUCUCCGCCCGCCGCCGAGAUCGUCAGCACAGCAGAUUUAAUGUUUCUAAACAGAGUUCUAAAGUCUAGUUUGUGAUGGACUUUAGCUUCUGUUCACACUGUAUGAAAUUUCUCAACGUUUAACUAUAACCUGUUGAUAGACUUUAGUUCUGUAUUAUCAUUUAAUGUUCUGCAUUCGUUUUUUUUUUUUUCGCUUUGUGCAAGGUCCUGUACUUAUAAGCUAGCCUGUUCUCCACUAUGUUUCCUCUAUGAAUAUUGUAUAACAGAAAGUACAUUUUGUAAUUUCCGUGUUUAUGUCAUAAAAACUGCUACUCAAGAGAUUGUACUAAGAAACCGGCCACGGCAGGUUUUGUAUACUAAGAACUUGAAGCGGAAAUAAAUAACUUUAAACUUUAUAUGGACCUAAAGUAGAUAAGAUAGAUUUUAUAUUGCAAUAAGAAAGCUGAAAUUCUUCUCGCGUUUUUAACAGACUUUAUGGUAUUGUUAUAAAAUUCUCAAAUAAACAACAUGAUUUGUUGACUUUAACUUUAGUUAAGAUAAUGAAUACUACGCGUUAAGCGAAGAUUCAAGGUUUGAUUUUCUAGACUGAUCCCAUAAUUCUCAAUAUUACCUAACCAGCCGAUGACACCGUAGAAUCACAACCUUGUUUACCUUUAUGGAGGUAGUAUCCAUAGCGACGGUACCCAGUGUAUGAUUACGACCAAUAAAUCAUAAAACGCUGACGUCACCGUGGCUACGACUGAAAUAAUUUCAGAAAUCUGAUAAACAGGAAUUCAAACGAUAAACCUUCACCAUUAUUUCGUUGCCUGCAUAAUAAAACCAUUAACAUAAAUUGCAGGUAUUUUCAUGACGUCGUGCGCAUGCCAUGUAGUCGAUGUGUACAAAGGUGUUUGGCUAAUUAUCAUGAGGUAUCGCGUAUUGUUACCAUGACAAUAUACCCUGAAAGUUUUGAGGUCUGUUAAGGUUCAUACAAGGUCAAGUUCUAUUGCUAUAGUACCCUUGAAUCAGGUCAGAGAAGAUUUUUGAACAGCAGCUCAUUUCCGUUCCUUUGUAGUGUGAACUGAUCUAAGCACUGACUACGGUCUAAAUAUUAAGUAUACUAAUGUUAGUCAUUGUUUAAAUCUUUUUCGUAUUCUCGAAACCUGAACUAAGUAGUCCAGGGCUAAACUCUGGUCUAAUAUGUAAAUUAUGGAAUAUCAAAAUAUUAUAAAUAUUACUGCUCAUGCUCAGUAGGCAUACAUCUGUCUGAAUUGCACUUGGAAUGUCGAAAUCUAACAUUUUCUGUAGUUAAAGAAUAUGCAUUGGGGGUGUAUAAUAUUUAAGGUAAACUUCACUGCAGGCUGGUACAAGUGUCAAAUGGAUUGAACCCUUGUUUCAGACUUGUGCAGUACCGUACCUGAAUUUGUUCGUACUACGAAGAUCAAAAUACUAAUGAUAGACCUAAGCACUCGCAUUAUUUAUUCGCACUAAUGUGUCUAUUUCAUUCCAUGUUUUGUCAUCACACACACCCCACUAGAGCAUUAGGCCUAUAAUAUCUCGUUACCUGAUUGAACAUCGCAUAUGAUGAUACUUGUGAUAAAAUUAACCAAUUCGUAAUAAUCAAGCUUAGUAAGUUCGUGUUCAUAGGCCGACCACACGGCUAGAAUGUUUCUGAGUGCGCGGGGCUAAGCCAACUUAAGUCCCCGCUUCAAACCACAUCAAUCAUACUUCAAAAAUGACUCAGAUGAUUAUUUAGAAUAUAAAUCAUUACAUGAGUACGUUGAACUAAACGUCUUAAUGUUGAUGUCGCCCCCAUUAGUAUUUCAUUUAGCACUUGAAACAUCUGAUUAACCAAAUUAAAAUUUCUCCUUAUUACCUAGAUAGGGUUUACACACGGUAUGUUUUAUUGUCAAUAUUUUCAUACAUAGCCUUAUAUAAUUUUACAGUUUCUUUUAUAUUAGACCUGGACACGUAAACGAUCUUACGGUUCGAUAGGCCUACUUGAUCUUAUAGGACCGGUAAACGUAACUU